UUUCUCUUCUUCUUUACUCUAUACGUUGGUGUUAUAACCAAUAAUCACCAAAGCGAUGUUCUGUCCGAUUGAUUCAGGAACCAACGAACGAAUACCAAAGUGUUGUACUUUGUGAAUUUCGGUAAACGGAAUCCAAAGUACUAUACUUUGUGAAUUUCGGUAAACGGAAUCCAAAGUACUAUACUUUGUGAAUUUUGGUAAACGGAAUCCAAAGUACUUUACUUUGUGAAUUUCGGUAAACGGAAUCCAAAGUGUUAUACUUUGUGAAAUUCGUUAAGGUUCGAAUCUCGUGAUCAUCGUUAGGUUUGAUUUGGGUUUUACACAAAUACGUAUUCCAUUCUGUUAAACUAUAUGUUUAACCAUCAGAAUACUCCCAACUAUACGCUUACAAUCAAAAUGGAUGCUUAAUCAUCAGAAGAUCCAAACUAAUAAAGUAUAUGCUUAAUUAUCAGAAGGAGUAGAAUCAAGAAGCUUGUUAAAUCAAUACUGCAUGCUUAUACUGUAAUUACAGUAGAAUGGAGUAAGGACUGGAUCCGGCACUGAAGGACUUCAAGAAGUGGCUUAUUUUAUUACUAAAUCAAAUUAAGAAAUAUUGUUUUUAUUAAAAGCUACCUUUGUAAAAUAUGGAAUUUAUUCCAUCUAUUUAAAUAAAAUCCAGUGUUUCUAAACUCUGAUAUUUUUCCUAACUCACGGGGUCCUGAUGAAAUUUCCGCUGCAAUGUUUUUCAAAAAUAACCACCGGUACCACUUGGCUGUUCGCGGCGCCCGAUUCCAUCCAGGGUGGGGUCGGGGGUCGUGACAGUUGUAACGGCAAGGGGAUUAGUUGAAGUAUCGUAGCUAAUCGAUCUUUGAGGCAGCGACGGCAAGGGGAUCAGUUGAAGUAUCGUAGUUGUUGAUCGAGUCGUUCCUCUAGGGGAAUUAUCAUUCGCUCAUUCUAGAAAACGACCCCAACAUUCAUCGGUUAGUAUGAUGUUUAUUCUCAACUCUUGUUGAUUAUAGUUUCUUGAGUAUAGCUUAGGAAUAUACUGUGGUAUAUGCUAACUGUAACAAUAAUGAACAUAUGAUUAUAGGCUCUUGUUAGUUUUGCUUGGAAAUAUGUAGAUCGUUAUGUUUUGUCAUGCCGAUUUCGGACUUAGUUCUUUUGGUGUAGUCUUACGUUGAAGUUACGUACAGUAUUUGAAUGAACGAAAUGAACGAACUGCUUAACGGGUUAUUUGAGUAUUAUUGAUUGGUUUAUUAAAUAUUAUGUGAUUUGUAUAGUAGUUCAACCGUACACUCUCCACCUCGCACACCAAUCAUCGGGCCGCACACCCCUCUCCUCUGAUCGGCUAGCUUAGCUCUCGGCCCUGAAACUCAAGCCAAACUGGGCCUGGCCCACCUUGUUUGGAUACAUACACGCAUACGGGUUGUGUGUGUGGGAUUUUUAUUGUUUCAAAACAUUAAUAUUAGCAAACCCUAGCCCUUCGUUUCCUCAUUGAAGACCGACGGCAAUUCCUUCAUAUUGUGGCAUCAUCUUCAUGCUAGCAUUCUUCUCCAUAACCUUCUUCGACCCUGCAUCCCACGGUUAGUGAGUAUUGAUCGAUUUAUUUGUGUUUUCCUUGUUAUAUUUGUUUAGGAUUGUAUUAGUAUCGAUGCAUGAUGUUGUGUCCUUGCAUGAGGGAUCACAUCUAGGGAUUGUAUGCUCAUAGAAUCACUGAUGAACCUAAUAUAGAUCACAUAUAGACCACUGAUGUUGUGUUAAAUUGUGUGAUGAAUGAUGAUUUACAAUUCAUGAUUAGUUGUCAGUUUGCAUGUGAAUAAAUUGAAGGUCCAAUUAGGAUGGUCUAUUAUGAUUUGUCAACAUCCACUAAUUCACAAUGGCAUGAGAAGGGUAAUAAAUGUGUCGGCCAUUUGUUUUGAUCAUGGUUGUUACUAGAUGAUGUGGUGGAUAAUUGAUCUGAAUGGUAACAUAUUUGCUAAAUGGUAAAUUGUUAUUACUUGAAUAUAUAAAGUCAUGUGGAACAAUUAAUGUUGGAUAAAUUUAAGUAACUACUGUUGCUAAUAUAUGAUAACAUGUAAUGACGUGUGCACAUAAACUAAAUAAAUUGGUGGUAAUUGGAGUGUUUAGGCCAUACAUGUUAACCGAGCCACUUUAGUAAAUGAAUCAGACCUGAACUUGAAUGGAGCCGCAUAACGGACUCGGGGACAGCCAAGCCGCACAUUCGAAGUGGGCUGAGCCCUGAUGGGUCAACCAUGUCCCUUGGGUUCUUGGUAGUUUUGGUUGUAAGUUACAGUGGGCUAUAACAAGUCUAAACAGUAAACUAGAAUUAACACUGAGUUAUGUUAUAAAUUGAAUCUGGGCCGUAGGUUAUGAAUUGAAGUUCGGCCAAACAUUGAGAUUGGGUCACACACGUUUAUAUGGUAAAAUGGGCCCCACACACUUAAACUGGGUAUUAGUUUUGGGCUCAUGUAGUGGGCCGCAUAUCCUUGGUUCGGAUCAUGUGCUAUUGGAUCACACCAAGGAAAGUGUUUGAUCAGAAUGUUAGUCUAUAUGUGAAUGGAAUAUGAUUAUUCAGUUUGGUAAUAUGACUAGGUGAGGGUAUGCAAAUGGGAUAGGUGUGUGAUCAAUCUGAAAUGUGUACACAUGACUUUAUUUGCUAGAAUAUGUAAAGAUGUGUGACUGAUUGUUUAUACCCAAACUGAUUGUUGUAUGAUAACCACAUUAGGAUUGGUUGAUUGAGUUGGAUCAUACGUAACUAACUUACCGAGCAAAUCUAAGGUGAGUUCACUACUUUGAGCGUGCGUCUCGGUGGUUGGGACAGUCAGUGGGUAUCCCGGGGAGGGAUAAAUCUUUUGGGUAAAACAGGGAUGUUGGAUAAUAUUCUCACUCUCUAUCAUUUAAGUCCCAUCUUUUGCUAUCGUGGGUGGUAGCGGGGUAUUAGUUGGUAGCGCUACUUAGGUUUGGCACCCUCACCCCGUUCCUAAGAGAGGGCGGGUGUGAACUAAUGACCCAGUCAGGCCCAGUGCUUUGAUAGGAGCACUGGGGAACGGGCAAAACAUACAUCAGGAGCCGUCUUGUUCAGUAUCGAGAUAUUAUCAACAUUACUUUCGGAAGCAAUCUCAAUGGAUUAAACUAAACACUUGGUAACCAACGUUUUCGUAAAACUAUGAACUCACCAGCGUUGUCUGAUACACUUGUUGCAUGCUCGCAGGUCGUUAGAUAUCUUGGAACUUGCUGUCUGGAGUAGCUGGAGUGGUCAUGGGUCGACUGAGGAGACUCAUGCGAUUAUUUGUUUACUACUACACAUUGGUUUUUGAACAACUUAGUUAUGGUUUACUAUUUGCUUCCGCUGAACAUGAACGUUUUUGUAUAAACUUGUGAUGGAAUUUUAUUAUUAAUUCGAGAACUU
rnacentral:lncRNA from 1 species